CUGGGCCUACGGGACGCAGCAGUAGGGAAUCUUCCACAAUGGGCGAAAGCCUGAUGGAGCAACGCCGCGUGGGUGAAGAAGGUCUUCGGAUCGUAAAACCCUGUUGUUAGAGAAGAAAGUGCGUGAGAGUAACUGUUCACGUUUCGACGGUAUCUAACCAGAAAGUCACGGCUAACUACGUGCCAGCAGCCGCGGUAAUACGUAGGUGGCAAGCGUUAUCCGGAUUUAUUGGGCGUAAAGCGAGCGCAGGCGGUCGCUUAGGUCUGAUG
rnacentral:rRNA from 1 species